rnacentral:rRNA from 1 species
GAUGAACGCUGGCGGCGUGCCUAAUAUAUGCAAGUCGAGCGAACGGACGAGAAGCUUGCUUCUCUGAUGUUAGCGGCGGACGGGUGAGUAACACGUGGAUAACCUACCUAUAAGACUGGGAUAACUUCGGGAAACCGGAGCUAAUACCGGAUAAUAUUUUGAACCGCAUGGUUCAAAAGUGAAAGACGGUCUUGCUGUCACUUAUAGAUGGAUCCGCGCUGCAUUAGCUAGUUGGUAAGGUAACGGCUUACCAAGGCAACGAUGCAUAGCCGACCUGAGAGGGUGAUCGGCCACACUGGAACUGAGACACGGUCCAGACUCCUACGGGAGGCAGCAGUAGGGAAUCUUCCGCAAAGGGCGAAAGCCUGACGGAGCAACGCCGCGUGAGUGAUGAAGGUCUUCGGAUCGUAAAACUCUGUUAUUAGGGAAGAACAUAUGUGUAAGUAACUGUGCACAUCUUGACGGUACCUAAUCAGAAAGCCACGGCUAACUACGUG